rnacentral:misc_RNA from 1 species
AGUCGUAACAAGGUCUCCGUUGGUGAACCAGCGGAGGGAUCAUUACCGAGUUUACAACUCCCAAACCCCUGUGAACAUACCAUUUGUUGCCUCGGCGGUGCCUGCUUCGGCAGCCCGCCAGAGGACCCAAACCCUUGAUUUUAUACAGUAUCUUCUGAGUAAAUGAUUAAAUAAAUCAAAACUUUCAACAACGGAUCUCUUGGUUCUGGCAUCGAUGAAGAACGCAGCGAAAUGCGAUAAGUAAUGUGAAUUGCAGAAUUCAGUGAAUCAUCGAAUCUUUGAACGCACAUUGCGCCCGCCAGUAUUCUGGCGGGCAUGCCUGUUCGAGCGUCAUUUCAACCCUCAAGCCCCCGGGCUUGGUGUUGGAGAUCGGCGUGCCCCCCCGGGGCGCGCCGGCUCCCAAAUAUAGUGGCGGUCUCGCUGUAGCUUCCUCUGCGUAGUAGCACACCUCGCACUGGAAAACAGCGUGGCCACGCCGUUAAACCCCCCACUUCUGAAAGGUUGACCUCGGAUCAGGUAGGAAUACCCGCUGAACCUAAGCAUAUCA